AUGGACGAGGGCCUCGCCGCUUCCGGACCCGGCCCGUCCGUCGCUAAGCGGGCUCGGUUUAUGGGGCCGCACGCAUCCAGUAGCUCAGGCGCUGACCCUGAGAUGGAGAUCCGAGCACUAGUCUCGAUGGCCAGCAGACUCUACCCGUUGGCACGGGCGGAGGCACUCAGCGGCCUCUCUGCGGUCCUCAAGAAGGUGAAUGCCGGCGGCGGGGUUGUGGAGUGCUGCUACGCUUGCGCGGAGAAAUUGCUGAGGGACGAGGACGAGGGUAUUAGGUUGGCCGCUGUGCGAUUGGUUGGCCUUUGUGCGGAGAAGUUUGCCAUGAGAGAGGAGUUGGGUGGUGAUGGUGACCAAAUGGACCGGGUUUUCCUACAGCUUAGCUCCAUGGCUAGGGACAUGUGUCCAGAAGUAAGAAUUGAAGCAUUCAACGCACUUGCCAAAAUGCAGAGAGUAUCUGAAGGUGUUUUGCUUCAGUCGCUGUCUAAGAAGAUCAUAAAAACUGACACUGGGAGUGCCUCUAGCAUCAAAGGGAAAAAACUACCACCUAAAUUAUCAUUCCCCUGUGCUGCUGGCAUAUUUGCGCAUGGGGUUGAAGAUGAAUUCUAUCAGGUCCGAGCAGUUGCAUGUAAAACUCUGGGAGCUCUUGCAAAGCUUUCAAACCAAUAUGCACAGAAGGCCUUGGACUUGUUGAUGGACAUGAUGAAUGAUGAUACAGAAGCAGUUAGACUGCAAACUUUGCAGACACUGUUUGAUAUGGCAACAUAUGGAUGUUUGAGCAUGCAGGAGAAGCGCAUGCACAUGGUACUAAUUAUCAAUAUAAUGUAUCUCGUUUCCUCGGCAUAUUGA
rnacentral:rRNA from 1 species